rnacentral:rRNA from 1 species
GAUGAACGCUGGCGGCGUGCCUAAUACAUGCAAGUCGAGCGAACGGACGAGAAGCUUGCUUCUCUGAUGUUAGCGGCGGACGGGUGAGUAACACGUGGAUAACCUACCUAUAAGACUGGGAUAACUUCGGGAAACCGGAGCUAAUACCGGAUAAUAUUUUGAACCGCAUGGUUCAAAAGUGAAAGACGGUCUUGCUGUCACUUAUAGAUGGAUCCGCGCUGCAUUAGCUAGUUGGUAAGGUAACGGCUUACCAAGGCAACGAUGCAUAGCCGACCUGAGAGGGUGAUCGGCCACACUGGAACUGAGACACGGUCCAGACUCCUACGGGAGGCAGCAGUAGGGAAUCUUCCGCAAUGGGCGAAAGCCUGACGGAGCAACGCCGCGUGAGUGAUGAAGGUCUUCGGAUCGUAAAACUCUGUUAUUAGGGAAGAACAUAUGUGUAAGUAACUGUGCACAUCUUGACGGUACCUAAUCAGAAAGCCACGGCUAACUACGUGCCAGCAGCCGCGGUAAUACGUAGGUGGCAAGCGGUAUCCCGAAUUAUUGGGCGUAAAGCGCGCGUAGCGGUUUUUUAAGUCUGAUGUGAAAGCCCACGGCUCACCCGUGGAGGGUCAUUGGAAACUGGAAAACUUGAGUGCAGAAGAGGAAAGUGGAAUUCCAUGUGUAGCGGUGAAAUGCGCAGAGAUAUGGAGGAACACCAGUGGCGAAGGCGACUUUCUGGUCUGUAACUGACGCUGAUGUGCGAAGGCGUGGGGAUCAAACAGGAUUAGAUACCCUGGUAGUCCACGCCGUAAACGAUGAGUGCUAAGUGUUAGGGGGUUUCCGCCCCUUAGUGCUGCAGCUAACGCAUUAAGCACUCCGCCUGAGGAGUACGACCGCAAGGUUGAAACUCAAAGGAAUUGACGGGGACCCGCACAAGCGGUGGAGCAUGUGGUUUAAUUCGAAGCAACGCGAAGAACCUUACCAAAUCUUGACAUCCUUUGACAACUCUAGAGAUAGAGCCUUCCCCUUCGGGGGACAAAGUGACAGGUGGUGCAUGGUUGUCGUCAGCUCGUGUCGUGAGAUGUUGGGUUAAGUCCCGCAACGAGCGCAGCCCUUAAGCUUAGUUGCCAUCAUUAAGUUGGGCACUCUAAGUUGACUGCCGGUGACAAACCGGAGGAAGGUGGGGAUGACGUCAAAUCAUCAUGCCCCUUAUGAUUUGGGCUACACACGUGCUACAAUGGACAAUACAAAGGGCAGCGAAACCGCGAGGUCAAGCAAAUCCCAUAAAGUUGUUCUCAGUUCGGAUUGUAGUCUGCAACUCGACUACAUGAAGCUGGAAUCGCUAGUAAUCGUAGAUCAGCAUGCUACGGUGAAUACGUUCCUGGGUCU